rnacentral:lncRNA from 1 species
CACACAUCAAACGACUAAAGUUCACAAGUUCUUCAAGUAAGCUCAAAAAAGAAUGAAUCAUUUAGUUAUUUUUGCCCUGACGUUACUCUGCUUUUCAAAAUCGGUCGUUUCAGUAUCCAUCAUUAACUGCGAGCCUAAUUCGUUAUCUGAAGCUUCGAGUAAUCUCCAACAACUUUGUUAUUAUGUUAUGGACAACUUGAGAUUACAAGAAAAUAUGAGUGGUACCAAUGAGCAUAAGCACUCUGAACGUGGAAUCAAGAGACAGGCAGUUGAUCACGUGUUUUUGCGAUUUGGUAAACGAUUCGGCUUCUAAAUUGCUGCUUUAAUUAAUCAUCGCAAAUUUUCAUCAUUUUGUUAUAGUAAUGUAUUUAAA